AACGUAGCUUAGAUGGUAGAGCAAUGCACUCGUAACGCAUAGGUCGUGGGUUCGAUCCCCACCGUUG
rnacentral:tRNA from 1 species